GACAGAGGCCUCAAGCGUUAGGCGGAAUCACUGGGCUUAAAGCGUGUGUAGGCGGAUCGUUAAGUGUCUUGUGAAAGCCCCGGGCUUAACCUGGGAACGGCGCUUGGGACGGGUGGGCUAGAGAUCGGGAGAGGAGAGUGGAAUUCCACGUGUAGCAGUGAAAUGCGUAGAGAUGUGGAGGAAUACCGAUGGCGAAGGCAGCCCCCUGGGAUAACACUGACGCUCAUGCACGAAAGCGUGGGGAGCAAACAGG
rnacentral:rRNA from 1 species